rnacentral:rRNA from 1 species
AGCGAACGCUGGCGGCAGGCCUAACACAUGCAAGUCGAACGGACCCUUCGGGGUUAGUGGCGGACGGGUGAGUAACACGUGGGGACGUGCCUUUAGGUUCGGAAUAGCUCCUGGAAACGGGUGGUAAUGCCGAAUGUGCCCUUCGGGGGAAAGAUCUAUCGCCUUUAGAGCGGCCCGCGUCUGAUUAGCUAGUUGGUGAGGUAAUGGCUCACCAAGGCGACGAUCAGUAGCUGGUCUGAGAGGAUGACCAGCCACAUUGGGACUGAGACACGGCCCAAACUCCUACGGGAGGCAGCAGUGGGGAAUCUUGCGCAAUGGGCGAAAGCCUGACGCAGCCAUGCCGCGUGGAUGAUGAAGGUCUUAGGAUUGUAAAAUCCUUUCACCGGUGAAGAUAAUGACUGUAGCCGGAGAAGAAGCCCCGGCUAACUUCGUGCCAGCAGCCGCAGUAACAC